UUCAUCGCUCGCGAUGUUUAACUGACAUGACUGUGGGACGUCCUACCGGUGGGCUUAGCCCUCUUCCUCGGAGGAGGGCGGCUCAGCUAAUAUCCCAUCGCGGUGCUUUUAAUCGAGUGUCGAGGUGGGCCGGUACGUUUACUUUGAACAAAUUAGAGUGCUCAAAGCAGGCCAUUGUCGCCUGAAUACUGUGUGCAUGGAAUAAUGGAAUAGGACCUCGGUUCUAUUUUGU
rnacentral:rRNA from 1 species